rnacentral:lncRNA from 1 species
UUCUCUCUUUUUCUUCUUUUUUCUUUCUUACUUUCUUUCUUCCUCCCCGAUCAGCCCCCCCGCCGAUUUCUCUGCUGCUGCCGGUGCUUCCUCCGCCUGCAGUGCAUCGGCCGACGACGGCGACGUGCGGUGGAGCUCUCCUUUUCUCCCUCUUUUCUUCUUUGCUUGCUCCUUUUUUUUUUUCGUGGGUAUUUUUCUUUGAUGAUUUUUUUUUGCUUGAUUUGCUUUCUUUGGUGGUAGUAGAUGGGAGUAUAACGAUGGUGGCGGUUUGACGACGCACGGUGGUGAUGAGGCUGCUGUUUUUGCUUGAUUUUUCUCUCAAAAAUUUUGUUGUUUUUUUCUUUUUGCUUCCUUGCCUGGCUCCUUUUUUGGGGGGUUUAAAACCCCUUUUUAACUGAUUUUUCUUCUUCUUUUUUGCAGGUUGCAGGUGGCUAGGGAGAGGUAGGCCGGCCGCCGCCGUUGCAGGCGCAAGUUGGGCUGAUUGCUGCCACAGGGACCAAAUCGUAAAUGCAGCAAAAUUUUUGGGGCAAAAGUGUAAUUUUAUAAAGUUUAGAGGUUAAAAUAUAAUUUGGAGAACAUUUAGGGGUCAAAAUGUAAUUUAAAAAAGUUUAGGGGUUGAAGUAUAAUUUUGAGAAAGUUUAGGGGUCAAAAUGAAAUUUUAGAAAAGUUUAGGGGUCAAAUGCAAAAAAAUUAAAAAAUUUUUUUUUUUAAAAAACGAAAGUUAUUCCUGGACAAAAUUCAGUGAUUACAAGGAGGAUUGAAGCCCAGUAAGUUAGGGCACAAUCCUCUCGAGAAUCUUAGAUACCAAGUAUUUUGAACAUUUAUGUGCAAAACGAUUUCGAUAUUUUUCUAAACAAAUGUAAUGCGAUUGAAUGGUAGUGCAUAAUUCAAAAUGAUAAUUCAUAAAUUACG